GUCUACGGCCAUACCACCCUGAACGCGCCCGAUCUCAUCUGAUCUCGGAAGCAAAGCAGGGUCGGGCCUGGUUAGGACUUGGAUGGGAGACCGCCUGGGAAUACGGGGUGCCGUAGGCU
rnacentral:rRNA from 1 species